GGCCUGAUGGUCUAGAGGUAUGAUUCUCGCUUUGGGUUCUGAACCGGUUUAGGAAUAUGCGAGAGGUCCCGGGUUCAAUCCCCGGUCAGGCCC